rnacentral:rRNA from 1 species
AGUGAACGCUGGCGGUAGGCCUAACACAUGCAAGUCGAACGGCAGCACAGGAGAGCUUGCUCUCUGGGUGGCGAGUGGCGGACGGGUGAGGAAUACAUCGGAAUCUACUUUUUCGUGGGGGAUAACGUAGGGAAACUUACGCUAAUACCGCAUACGACCUACGGGUGAAAGCAGGGGAUCUUCGGACCUUGCGCGAUUGAAUGAGCCGAUGUCGGAUUAGCUAGUUGGCGGGGUAAAGGCCCACCAAGGCGACGCUCCGUAGCUGGUUUGAGGGCAAGAGCAGCCACACUGGGACUGAGACACGGUCCAGACUCCUACUGGAGGCAGCAGUGGGGAAUAUUGGACAAUGGGCGCAAGCCUGAUCCAGCCAUACCGCGUGGGUGAAGAAGGCCUUCGGGUUGUAAAGCCCUUUUGUUGGGAAAGAAAUCCAGCUGGCUAAUACCCGGUUGGGAUGACGGUACCCAAAGAAUAAGCACCGGCUAACUUCGUGCCAGCCGCCGCCGUAA